rnacentral:rRNA from 1 species
GACGAACGCUGGCGGCGUGCUUAACACAUGCAAGUCGAGCGGUAAGGCCCUUUCGGGGGUACACGAGCGGCGAACGGGUGAGUAACACGUGGGUGACCUGCCCUCAGCUCUGGGAUAAGCCUGGGAAACCGGGUCUAAUACUGGAUAUGACUCCAUGACGCAUGUUGUGGGGUGGAAAGCCUUGUGCGGCUGAGGAUGGGCCCGCGGCCUAUCAGCUUGUUGGUGGGGUGAUGGCCUACCAAGGCGACGACGGGUAGCCGGCCUGAGAGGGCGACCGGCCACACUGGGACUGAGACACGGCCCAGACUCCUACGGGAGGCAGCAGUGGGGAAUCUUGCGCAAGUGGGCGAAAGCCUGACGCAGCGACGCCG